ensembl:lncRNA
GGCCAAGAUAUUUAGAAGGAAAAAAAAUCAUGCAGACCCUGCAAAUUUAGCAGCAGAGACUUGAUCUUUGAUGACGAGCUUGUAGAUGCUUUUGACAACAAUGUCUUCUCCAAAGCAUACUCCUGUCAUGAAAUACAGUGUCUUCACCAGUUUCAAGAAGAUAGGAACCAAAAAUAGUCCGUAUUGGAGUGGAUGACCUCCAAGUACCGCUGGAUUUGUGAGACAGAAAGUAGAUGGCAUUACUGCUGAUGCGAAAGAGAAGUCUAAUUUGUAGCCCAGCAGGAUCCCAAAAUAUGUUCAAAAUAUUAUUUAUGACUGAAAAUUAAAAAUUAAGAGUAAAGGCAGAUUUUACUGUUUACUUAGCCAAGUCAUAAAAUAUACAAGCACAGCAAAUAUAAACAACAGCAAAACAAACUGAGCUAAGGCAUGCUUACAGCUAGCCUAAUCAUCUUAAAACUCCAAAUAUUAUCUCAUGACAGAUGGCUGCUGGAGUCUACAAAGGGCUACUCCAAAUUCUCUUCCCCAUUCCAUAAAGACCACCCCUAUUGAGGACAUUUCCAUCCAAAUGCAUUAUUAUAUAUCCUGUCUUGAAACAGAAGAUUUCAUUUCCUUGCCGCUAUUUGGUGAGUCUUGUGCUGGAAAAGGGCCUAUCACCUACCUUCCUCUGGACCAGCUUUUGCAGAUGAAUUACUCUCUACCAUGGUCUUAGAAGGAGCAGUCAAGAAUGCCUCCCUUCCUUACCAUGCUGGCCUGGGCUGUUCAUGCCAGACUGCUUGCUCUGCUCUGUGAUCUGCAGAGGACUUUCAAGCACAACCUGGAGACAGAGAGCGGGCAGGGGGCCACAGAGCUCAGCUGCAGCUGAGAAGGGGUUUUCCCUCCUGGUCCUCUGCCAGUGCCAAGGAAGCCAAGAGAAGAUGAGACCAUGCUUCUGCAAAUGCAAAUAAAGAGACCUGCAGGGCUCAGGGCAUUCAGCACUGAGUGGAAGUGUGCAGCCAGCAUUUCCCAGCCUUCUGAAGUCCUCCAUAGGAAACCUCCAGUCUUCCUCCAUGCGCUGGAGAUAGAUGCUGCUAAUUCAGUUUGGUGAGAACGACCAAUACAACUGCUCCCACUUGCUCCGGUGUCACAUCAAUCUAUAAGAAGCCAAAAGGAUGUCUGCAACCAGCAAGCCAGAAAGAAAGCUGUAUUGUUUUUCACAAUGAAUGGCAUUAACUCCUUUUCUUCCAUACAAAUAUACUCUGAAUACUUUGCUUGUUGCCUAAAUUCUUGAUCAUAGAAUCACCGAAUCAUUUGAAAUGGAAAGGACCCUUACAGGUCAUCGAGUCCAGCUCCCCUGCAAUGAACAGCAUUCAUCUGCAGUGAAUAGGGAUGUUGAUGUCGAAGAGUGGAACAGCUGAAAACUUUCUAAAUGUCUAUUCACUUUGUCUGUAGAUCUUUUAACCUUAAAUAAUUACAUAGGUCAUAUUACGUAAAUAGUAUAAGAUAAUAUUAGAAAUAAAUUAAGAUCACAGUAUAGAUAGCAUAGCAGAAUACAAAUGCAAAUUACAGAUUUCUCCAUUAUUGAAAUAUACCAAGUAAGAUGAUCAGAAAACAUUUAAGAUUCAGAAGUUGAAAUAAGCAAUAAUAAGUUGAACAAUCAAUCUGAUCAAACACAAUCAAAAGCUAUACGCUCUGUGAUCUCAGGUAGAAGAAUUUUGUAUUAGAAAUUAGAAAUAAAUACAUCUGCUUUAUGGAGAUAAAGGUAAUACAGCAUUAGAUUUUUCUGUAUACAGGGAAUAUAAAUUUUUAUCUUUGGUGAACUAAUAAAAGAAGAGUUGAACUCAUUGCUACUGUUUAAUUUUGCUUCUGUACAUAAGGGACCUUCAGCAGUUACCCAGAGAGAACCGUGAGGUGGAUUGAGAACUGUUUGGCUGGUAGAGCUCAGAGGGUUGUCAUCAGUGUGGCAGUCUGGCUGGAGGCCUGUAACUAGUGGUCUUCCUCAGGGGUUGGUAUGGGAUCUGGUCUUGUUCAACGUCUUCAUCUUCAUUCAUGACCUGAAUGAAGGGAGAGAGUCCACCCUCAGCAAGUUUGCUGAUGAUACAAAGCUGGGAAUAGCGACUGACAUGGGGACCUUAUCAAUGCUAAUAAAUAUCUAAAGGGUAGGACUCAAGUGGAUUGGUCCGAGUUCUUUUCAGUGGUACCCAGCAACACUACAAGGGGCAAUGGGCACAAACUGGAACACAGGAGGUUCCAUACAAACACAAGGAAAAAGUUCUUUAUUGUGCAGGUUACAGCACUGGAACAGGCUGCCAAGAGAGGCUGUGAAGUCUUCUCUGAGGUAUUCAAGACCCAGCUGGAUGUUUUCCUGGGCAACCUACUGUAGGGAACCUGCUUGGACUAGAGGAUCUCCAGAGGUCCCAUACAACCCCUACAAUUCUGUGAUUCUGUGAAAACAGAGAUCUUUGCAUUUUGUGAGCCAAAAAAAGGAACUGAAGACCACAAUUGCUCAUCAGAGGAACCACAUACAUGCCAGAUGUGCUUUUACCCCACUGUGAUUGUGAACUAAAAUGUUUGUUUAAAGACUAUAUUUUUAUAGAUAUUAUUGUGCUCAGAGGCAAAUGUAGCCAUGGUAAAUGUACAUUCCCAGCAUAACCCUCUCCAUGAGGGGCCAGGUAAAAAUUCAUAGAUGCAUUUAAAUGGGUUGUAUUGGGAUCACUCAGUCGUCAUCAGAGAAAGAUGAAGGAAUCUCCAAGGACACUUCUUUCCCUACCUUUCAGGAUGGAAUUAAACAACUUUCUGACAUAUCUAUUUCCCUAUAGGGAGCAUGUAGCUGUGGAUGUCAGACAUACACCACUUAGUCAGCUGAAGUAGAAAGAAUUCCACCCUAAAACAUUAAAGCAAUGAAUCCCUUUUUCUAUAAAUUACAACAAAGUAAAAUUAUGUCUAGCCUCUGUCUUUGUUAAGAGCUUGACAUACAGCAGCACUUAGGAAACUGAUUAUACUGACAGGCUAAUCAAGCAGAGUUUGUUAACUAAAUUUAUGGUAACUAUAUCACAUCUCAAGUAUUACAAAUAUGAAAAAGAGUGUGCCUUAAUCUUCUAUGUAAACAUAGUUUUCUUUUGGGCUCUUCUGAUGCCCUAAUGUUUAUAGAACCAUGUAAUAAAUCAGGACUUAUUUAUCAUAACGAACAGUAGUUCACACAGUGGUUAAAAUCGCUGUUUUCAUUAACUAUGUCAAAGAUCAAAAUAUUAUAAAGGAAGCAUUCAGAUGCAAUGACAAGAGGCGCAGUAUAUGAUCUGAAAUGAACAUGUGUUGUCAUGCACUGAUGUCUUGAACCAUAAUUACACUUCUGGGGAGCUGUCAAUACACAAGCAGAGUUUAUCACCUUCAGUAACAAUUGUGAGCUGGAACAGCUUUAACAGCAUCACAGCAUGGCUGAGGUUGGCAGGGACCCUUGGGUCCAUCUGCUCCAACCCCUGCUCUGGCAGGAAAACCCCAAGCAGGGUGCCCAGCACCACAUCCAGAUGGCUUUCCUUGAAAGCAGAACUGUCUGAAUGCACUCAGUCCCUGAAGCUGGGCUGUAUCAGAACACAACGCAUUAAACCAGCAAAAGAAGUUAAAUGGUAAAAAAGUUCAAAAUCAGUCUUACCUGAAACCCAUCAUAUCCUAAGGAGGCAAGUUCUUUUCUCCCAUCCAGCCCUUUAACUUCAGCUUUUCCCUGAAUCAACAGGUUAUGUGCCUAGACCCAACCACCUCUACCUGUUAGCCCCUGCCUUUCUCUGCUUCAUUUCUCAUGGAUGCCUUAGAUGUCAUUUCUUGCUAUGCACCAGCUACUGUCUGUCUCUCCAAAGUGCUUCUGUCUGUAGGUUGAUCAAGUACUGAGAGCUACUGUGCUCUACAGUGACAGUUCGCUGCAAGGACUGAUUAGAAAUUCAAAAAGGCAAUAAAAGCACAGUGAUUUUGAUGAAAUUCUAAUAAGAGCAUGCAUUUCUGCUUGUUUUGACUAUGCUCCGUUCUCAUCUUUAAGGAUAUUUGAAUAGCUACAGAAGUUGAUACACUUUUCACCGGUGUACGGUUGCAUUAAUCACGCUUUUGCCAUCCAGCUACUCUGUGGUCUUGUGCAAUUCAUUUCACACUCUGAACUUGUUCCCAACCUUUUCUUUCUUUCUUAUUUUUUCUGCUUAUACAGCGAUCUGGCGUUUGAUAUAUGUUUGAGAAAUGCCUGGUACAUUUUGGUCUUGAUAUUGGAUGGGUCUCCUACGAACUGCUGGAAUAUUGUCACUGUCAUCCUCAGCCAUGCUGGGUGGUUUUUGAUCCAUUGUCCCACAGUAUGUCUGAAGGUCAACGUGAACUCUGAAAGGAGUCAGACACAGCACUGACAUAUAUGAACAAUAGUUGCUCUGAAAUCUCUGGGAGUUUUGUGUACAUCUGAGGGCAGAGUUCGGGCCAUAAAGUUUAAGUACAAGCAUCUGGGCACAAUUUUCUCCAGUGAGCAGGAUUCCAAGUUACUGUAACAUCUGCUGUGGGAACUAUAAGUACUUUAUAUUAAUGUUUUACACUGUGUUAGCUAUAAUCACCUUUUUUUAUAGGAAAAAUUUAGUCAUCUCCACCUGGUGAUUCCACUGAUGUGGGCACCUGUCUGCUAGGAAUCGGGCUGAGACCAUAAAUGCAUUUCACACAAGCAAUUGAAGGGCUAUGAGACAGUAAUCUCUUUAGGUUAUAAUUUUCAAGUAACCCAUGCACAGUUUGGUUUUUCUGGGGGGAGUAUUUUUUGUUGCUUAUUUGUUUGUUGGUUUUUUUGUGUGUUUGUGAUUGUUGUUGUUUUUUUCCAGCACAAGAUCAUUUUCAGAUAAGCUCCCAUUUCUCCAUGGGGAUUUGGUUAGCUCUUCAUACUUCAUACUUUGGCAAACUGUUUGGCAAAGAGAUGAGAUGACAAAUGCGCUCACACAUAGAAAAGGAGAGAAUCUUGAGCAGUGCUGUUUGUCCUUAGCCCCCACAGAAAGCAGAGCAAUACUCCAAAACCUAUUAUUUUCUUUGAAUUGAUCUCUUACUUAUAUAUGUGAGUAUAUAACUAGUAAAGAUGUUUUCCAAUAACAUCAGUAGUGUUUUAUCUGUUUUUCUGUGCUCACUGUCAAUCUCAUUUAUGUAUAUGGCCCUGAUUAAGGAGCUCCUGACUACCUUUUGAACGGAAAGCUAAUUUUUCUCCUAUAUCCAAUCAAGAGAAUAGAGAAAAGAAGCAAACAGCCCAUGCUCAGAUGUAUGCUGCCAUUUAUAGACUGCUGUUGGUAUUUCACUUAGAUGAAAAGAAACUGGAAUUAUGCACUGUUACCUGCAGUUUUACUGCAGUUGUGAAAUAUCAUUAUAAUAAAAUAUAGGCUUUAUUUGAAUUAUAGAUGGAGAUAUAUGCAGUUAGUUAUAUAUUUUAACGGGAUAUAUUUUAGCUGGACAUAUUUUACAUAAAAAUAAGUCUUCUGAGAAUCUUCUUAUUGGUGGAGGAAUAUUUCACCUCUACUGCUUCGAUGCUCAUUUUAGUUUGAAAACUACCAUAAAGGCAUAAUAUUCAGUUGGAUUUUUUAUCUAGUUCUUACUGUCUGGCCUGUGGAAAAUGAGUGAAAGAGAAGUAAAGUUUAUCUUUUCUUGUAUUUUUAUUUAUUUAUUUAUUUAUUUAUUGUGAUACAGUGUUAAUAACCAGCACAUCAUUCCCUAUUAGCAGUAAAAAUAUGUUUAUGAAAACUGAUGAGGAUUCACUCCAUUCAGUACAAAAGUAAAUCAGGCACCAGGUUAGUCAAUGCAAAGUGCUACAGCAUCUUGAUACAGUACCAGUG